UACGUAGGGGGCAAGCGUUGUCCGGAAUCAUUGGGCGUAAAGCGCGCGUAGGCGGCCCGGUAAGUCCGUUGUGAAAGUCAAAGGCUCAACCUUUGAACGCCGAUGGAUACUGCCGGGCUAGAGUCCGGAAGAGGCGAGUGGAAUUCCUGGUGUAGCGGUGGAAUGCGCAGAUAUCAGGAGGAACACCAAUAGCGAAGGCAGCUCGCUGGGACGGUACUGACGCUGAGGCGCGAAAGCGUGGGGAGCGAACAG
rnacentral:rRNA from 1 species